UACGUAGGGUGCAAGCGUUGUCCGGAAUUAUUGGGCGUAAAGAGCUUGUAGGCGGUUUGUCGCGUCUGCUGUGAAAUUUCGGGGCUCAACCCCGAACUUGCAGUGGGUACGGGCAGACUAGAGUGUGGUAGGGGAGACUGGAAUUCCUGGUGUAGCGGUGAAAUGCGCAGAUAUCAGGAGGAACACCGGUGGCGAAGGCGGGACUCUGGGCCGAUACUGACGCUGAGGAGCGAAAGCGUGGGGAGCGAACAGG
rnacentral:rRNA from 1 species